GGAAGCGUGGCAGAGUGGUCGAUUGCACCGGUCUUGAAAACCGGCAACGUUUUACGACGUUCGUGAGUUCGAACCUCACCGCUUCCGCCA
rnacentral:tRNA from 2 species